rnacentral:tRNA from 1 species
AGGAUUAUAGUUAAAUAUAACAUUUAAUUUGCAAUUAAAAAAUAUUGAAUUAUCAAUUUUUCUUA